rnacentral:rRNA from 1 species
CGGCGGACGGGUGAGUAACGCGUGGGCAACCUGCCUCACACAGGGGGAUAACAGUUAGAAAUGACUGCUAAUACCGCAUAAGACCACGAAACCGCAUGGUUUUGAGGUAAAAACUCCGGUGGUGUGAGAUGGGCCCGCGUCUGAUUAGGUAGUUGGUGCGGUAACGGCGCACCAAGCCGACGAUCAGUAGCCGACCUGAGAGGGUGACCGGCCACAUUGGGACUGAGACACGGACCAAACUCCUACGGGAGGCAGCAUG